AACGAACGCUGGCGGCAGGCUUAACACAUGCAAGUCGAGCGCCCCGCAAGGGGAGCGGCAGACGGGUGAGUAACGCGUGGGAACGUACCCUUUGCUACGGAAUAGCUCCGGGAAACUGGAAUUAAUACCGUAUGUGCCCUAAGGGGGAAAGAUUUAUCGGCAAAGGAUCGGCCCGCGUUGGAUUAGCUAGUUGGUGGGGGAAUGGCCUACCAAGGCGACGAUCCAUAGCUGGUCUGAGAGGAUGAUCAGCCACAUUGGGACUGAGACACGGCCCAAACUCCUACGUGAGGCAGCAGUGGGGAAUAUUGGACAAUGGGCGCAAGCCUGAUCCAGCCAUGCCGCGUGAGUGAUGAAGGCCUUAGGGUUGUAAAGCUCUUUCACCAGGGACGAUAAUGACGGUACCUGGAGAAAAAGCCCCGGCUAACUUCGUGCCAGCAGCCGCCGUAAUAC
rnacentral:rRNA from 1 species